rnacentral:rRNA from 1 species
GGCUUAUUGAUAAUAAUUUUAGGUCUGACCUGCCCAAUGAUGAAAAAUUAAAUGGCUGCGGUAUAUUAACCGUACAAAGGUAGCAUAAUCAUUAGUUUUUUAAUUGAAAGCUUGAAUGAAAGGUUUGAUGAAAAAAUAGCUGUCUCUAAUUGAAUUUAUUAGAAUUUUAUUUUUAAGUUAAAAAGCUUAAAUAUAUAUAGAAGACGAGAAGACCCUAUAGAGUUUUAUAGUUAUUUUUAGAGGUUAGAUUUUAGAAUUUUUUAGUCUAUAUAAAUAAUUAUUUGGUUGGGGUGACAGAAAAAUUAAAUGAACUUUUUAUGGAGUUUUACAUUAAUUUAUGAAUUUUUGAUCCUUAUAAAAGAUUAAAAGAUAAAAUUACCUUAGGGAUAACAGCGUAAUUUUUUUUUAGAGUUCAAAUUAAAAGAAAAGAUUGCGACCUCGAUGUUGGAUUAAAAUAAAUUAUUGGUGUAGAAGCUAGUAAAUUAGGUCUGUUCGACCUUUAAAUUUUACAUGAUCUGAGUUUAAACCGGUGUAAG